GACGAACGCUGGCGGCGUGCUUAACACAUGCAAGUCGUACGAUGACCCGGCUCUUCGGAGCUGGUGAUUAGUGGCGAACGGGUGAGUAACACGUGGGUGACCUGCCCUGCACUCUGGGAUAAGCCCGGGAAACUGGGUCUAAUACUGGAUACGACCAGUGGCCGCAUGGUCUGCUGGUGGAAAGCCCUUCGGGGUGGUGUGGGAUGGGCCCGCGGCCUAUCAGCUUGUUGGUGGGGUGAUGGCCUACCAAGGCGACGACGGGUAGCCGGCCUGAGAGGGUGUCCGGCCACACUGGGACUGAGACACGGCCCAGACUCCUACGGGAGGCAGCAGUGGGGAAUCGUGCACAAUGGGCGAAAGCCUGAUGCAGCGACGCCGCGUGAGGGAUGACGGCCUUCGGGUGGUAAACCUCUUUCGGCAGGGAACAAGCCUGGGGGGUGUCGUCUGGGUGAGGGUACCUGCGGAAGAAGCACCGGCUAACUACGUG
rnacentral:rRNA from 1 species